rnacentral:rRNA from 1 species
AGAGUUUGAUCAUGGCUCAGAGCGAACGNNGGCAGGCCUAACACAUGCAAGUCGAGCGCCCCUCCUUCAGAGGACAGUGGUCAGUAAUCAGUAAUCAGAAUUAGUAGUCUGAUUACUGAUUACUGAGCCCUGAUUACUGUCUUCUGAUGGAGGGGAGCGGCAGACGGGAGAGUAACACGUGGGAACGUACCCUUUGGUUCGGAACAACCCAGGGAAACUUGGGCUAAUACCGAAUAAGCCCUUACGGGGAAAGAUUUAUCGCCGAAGGAUCGGCCCGCGUCUGAUUAGCUAGUUGGUGGGGUAAUGGCCCACCAAGGCGACGAUCAGUAGCUGGUCUGAGAGGAUGAUCAGCCUCACUGGGACUGAGACACGGCCCAGACUCCUACGGGAGGCAGCAGUGGGGAAUAUUGGACAAUGGGCGCAAGCCUGAUCCAGCCAUGCCGCGUGGGUGAUGAAGGCCCUAGGGUUGUAAAGCCCUUUCGGCGGGGAAGAUAAUGACGGUACCCGCAGAAGAAGCCCCGGCUAACUUCGUGCCAGCAGCCGCGGUAAUACGAAGGGGGCUAGCGUUGCUCGGAAUCACUGGGCGUAAAGCGCACGUAGGCGGAUUGCUAAGUCAGGGGUGAAAUCCUGGAGCUCAACUCCAGAACUGCCUUUGAUACUGGCGACCUUGAGUCCGGGAGAGGUGAGUGGAACUGCGAGUGUAGAGGUGAAAUUCGUAGAUAUUCGCAAGAACACCAGUGGCGAAGGCGGCUCACUGGCCCGGUACUGACGCUGAGGUGCGAAAGCGUGGGGAGCAAACAGGAUUAGAUACCCUAGUAGUCC